rnacentral:rRNA from 1 species
GGAAGCUGAAUGUACCUGAAGAAUAAGGAUCGGCUAACUCCGUGCCAGCAGCCGCGGUAAUACGGAGGAUCCAAGCGUUAUCCGGAUUUAUUGGGUUUAAAGGGUGCGUAGGCGGUCCUAUAAGUCAGUGGUGAAAGACGGCAGCUUAACUGUCGCAGUGCCUUUGAUACUGUAGGACUUGAAUCUAUUUGAAGUGGGCGGAAUAAGACAAGUAGCGGUGAAAUGCAUAGAUAUGUCUUAGAACUCCGAUUGCGAAGGCAGCUCACUAAGUUAGUAUUGACGCUGAUGCACGAAAGCGUGGGGAUCAAACAGGAUUAGAUACCCUGGUAGUCCACGCCCUAAACGAUGAUAACUCGAUGUUUGCGAUACACAGUAAGCGUCCAAGCGAAAGCGUUAAGUUAUCCACCUGGGGAGUACGGUCGCAAGAUUGAAACUCAAAGGAAUUGACGGGGGCCCGCACAAGCGGAGGAGCAUGUGGUUUAAUUCGAUGAUACGCGAGGAACCUUACCCGGGCUUGAAAGUUAGUGAAUGAUCCAGAGACGGAUCAGUCCUUCGGGACACGAAACUAGGUGCUGCAUGGCUGUCGUCAGCUCGUGCCGUGAGGUGUUGGGUUAAGUCCCGCAACGAGCGCAACCCCUAUGUUUAGUUGCCAGCACAUUAAGGUGGGGACUCUAAACAGACUGCCAGCGUAAGCUGUGAGGAAGGUGGGGACGACGUCAAGUCAUCAUGGCCCUUACGUCCGGGGCUACACACGUGCUACAAUGGAUGGUACAGCGGGCAGCUACAUAGCAAUAUGAUGCUAAUCUCUAAAAGCCAUUCACAGUUCGGAUUGAGGUCUGCAACUCGACCUCAUGAAGUUGGAUUCGCUAGUAAUCGCGUAUCAGCAAUGACGCGGUGAAUACGUUCCCGGGCCUUGUACACACCGCCCGUCAAGCCAUGAAAGUUGGGGGUACCUAAAGCAUGUAACCGCAAGGAGCGUGUUAGGGUAAAACCGAUAAUUGGGGCUAAGUCGUAACAAGGUAGCCGUACCGGAAGGUGCGGCUGGAAUACCUCCUUU